rnacentral:rRNA from 1 species
GGGUAGCAAUAUUCGGAAUGUUUAGCGGCGCAAGGGUGCGUAACACGUGGGCAAUCUGCCCUGAAGACCGGGAUAACUCCGAGAAAUCGGAGCUAAUACCGGAUGUAAUUGCUGGAGGGCAUCCUCUGGUAAUCAAAGCUGGGGACCGCAAGGCCUGGCGCUUCUGGAUGAGCCCGCGGCCUAUCAGCUAGUUGGUGAGGUAACGGCUCACCAAGGCUAAGACGGGUAGCUGGUCUGAGAGGACGACCAGCCACACUGGAACUGAGACACGGUCCAGACACCUACGGGUGGCAGCAGUCGAGAAUUUUUCACAAUGGGCGAAAGCCUGAUGGAGCGACGCCGCGUGGGGGAUGAAGGGCUUCGGCUCGUAAACCCCUGUCAUUUGCGAACAAACCUUGUACGAUAACAUCGGACAAGCUGAUUGUAGCGAAAGAGGAAGGGACGGCUAACUCUGUGCCAGCAGCCGCG